CUACGGGGUGCUGCAGUAAGGAAUAUUGCGCAAUGGAGGCAACUCUGACGCAGCCAUGCCGCGUGCAGGAAGAAGGCCUUAUGGGUCGUAAACUGCUUUUAUUUAGGAAUAAACCCCCGAACGUGUUCGGGGCUGAAGGUACUAAACGAAUAAGCACCGGCUAACUCCGUGCCAGCAGCCGCGGUAAUACGGAGGGUGCAAGCGUUAUCCGGAUUUAUUGGGUUUAAAGGGUGCGCAGGCGGGCUAUUAAGUCAGUGGUGAAAUCCCGGGGCUCAACUCCGGAACUGCCCUUGAUACUGAUAGUCUUGAGUUUGGUUGAAGUGGGCGGAAUGUAGCAUGUAGCGGUGACAUGCAUAGAUAUGCUACAGAACACCAAUCGCGAAGGCAGCUCACUAAGCCAAAACUGACGCUCAUGCACGAAAGCGUGGGGAUCAAACAGGAUUAGAUACCCCAGUAGUC
rnacentral:rRNA from 1 species